rnacentral:rRNA from 1 species
UCACGCAUCGCGUCUCCCCCAUACCCACCUCGGUGGAGGGGAAGGAGGAUGGUUUCCCGCGACUCACCGGUCGCKGCUGGCCUAAAAUUGGAGCCCCCGGCAUCGGUAUGCCGCGGCGAUAGGUGGUGAACAAGGCCUCGGCCAAGCAAGCAACCCGUCGCUCGUGCCGUGCCAACGUGGGCCCGAAGGACCCU